CCUUAAGAACUGUUGUUCAGGACUGCUUACUUGUGCUUCCUACCUAUUCGGCUACUGUAAUAACCUUUGUUCGAGCCCACAUGCAACAUUUUUGCUCUCAUUCAUGAAACGCUUAAAUCGGGGACAUUUUUGGGGACAGCUUUUGCCGGGGACAGGUCAUCCAAUACGGGGACUGUCCCCGGAAAUCGGGGAUGUCUGGUCACCUUAUGCUAAAGGCUGAAAAUGGCAGGUAUUAAACCAUAUAUUUUAGACCCCGAGUCCGAAGAGGAGGUUCGAAGUUGAAGAAGAAGCCAGAGAUCUCCAGCGGCGUUUUCAUUCUUUCUGCACGGCUUUAAGUUCAUUUUUCCGGCAGUGAACCCAAGGAAACACCGUUCGUUUGGAAGAGACCCAUAGCAGAUACAGUGGUAGCUGGGUCUCGCUCUGGCUGGUGACUGAGUACAAGAACGGGAGAGUGGGCGCGGCUCACCGAGGAUGCGCUCGUGAAUAAUAAUGAGCAAGGUCUGCACGACGUCAGAGGGACCUGCUUUUUCAAUUGGCCUGGUUUACACGUUUCUUUAUUUUAAACCUUCACAGAAUGCAAACGACGUAACGGUUUGUUUUCACAUUUACAACAUAAGAUGAACAUAAUAUGGACCUUAUCUGACACUAAAAACACAGAAAAUUACAUUUUGAUGGCAGGUCCCCUUUAAAAGCAUGUCUGUGACGUCCUUCAGUCAAAAUUCGAUUUGAUCAAUUAUUUUAGUGCUCUUUUUAUCAGCUAAAAACAGCUCCGCUCAAAAUCCUCCGUUUUGGGCCAUGUCUCUUUAAUGAAGUGAGCUGCACCUAAGCCACGUCCACUUUACACCCAUCUCUCUGGAAGGGGCUGUGGUUGUGCUCAGAUAGUCAUGUGCUAAUGUUUACACUGGCUCGGUCAUGGCUGCAAGAAGAUCGUUCUUCCAACCCUACCAGUUUGAGCCAGAGUCUGACUCUGAGGGAGAGGCUCUGGUAGAAACUCUCAGCCGCGUUCAGACCAAACGCGACUCGAAGCGACCUAGUCGACACAUCCCAUGUAUUAUUCAAAGCCGCCAGGAGGGUCACGCUUAAGGAGGAAGAUAUGAAUGUAGAAAAAAUUACAACCCGAGCUCUGCUACAAUGUAAGAUUUUUGUGCUCUAAAACUUCUCUGAAGCCUUUGCUAAUUAAUAGGAUGGAUGACUGUCCAGCAUUAGCCGAGACGCCCUGUAUUUGAGCCAAAAGAGGCGCGUCGCCGCACGGGUAAAUGCUAAAGCUACAUGUUGCUCCGGAGGGGGGUUUUGUCCCCCGCUGGCGGAGUUGUCGGGGAAGAAGCGAGCAGCUAAAAUACGAGAGGAUCCGGUAAAGCGGCGCAGAUCCGGUGUGUUUAUCAAAGCGUGGUGGCCGUGCUGAGGCACCGGGGGGAUUUUAGGCUAAACAGUGAGUCUAAAUAAAACGUUCACACUUACAGAUGCCACGUUUGUAGUCAGAUCACGGAUAGUUGGUACGGAUCCAUUCUUUAUCUUCAGAAAUCUAGCAAAUCCAGCAUUGAACUGUCCCUCGUUGAUAAAACAGUCCGAAGUGAAAUGGUGCGCACAUACGUACAGAUAUUUUGGAAGUGCCGCGGGUACAUUCCCAUUUUAAAUAAAAUCCACCCACUGAGUCCUCAACUCCUCCGACGUAGGAGUUUUCAAAAGAGUUUUGUGCUUGUUUGAGCAGCCAACAACAUAGCAAACGCUGCCUCUUUUUCAGAUCAUACUUUCCCCAUGGUUCUAACUGGAGCUAUGCGAGCGAGCGGCCGGAAAAAAUGCUGCUGUUUUGAUAAUUUAGUGGGCAGGGCAGUAGGCGGCUCCAUGGGCAGUACCAUCAACCCGCCAGCACUGACAUGACGUCAUGUCAAUGGAGUUUUCAGAACGGCCGGCUCUGAGCACACAGUUCCUAAAUACGGAGAUAACUACAAAACGACUGGAUGGAUUUUUCUCAAACUUGGGGGGGAUUGUAGCGGUUUUCUAUCCCUGAUAUGCACCCCCCUCCCGUUAACAAAGUCAGUUUUUCAUGCCAUGGCCCCUUUAAGAACUCCAGAAAAAGCCUGAAAACAUGAACUAAAUAGGUUUUACUGGAAAAUGUUACAUCCACUCAGCUUAAUAAUAAUAAUAAUAAUAAUAAUAAUGAUAAAAAACAGACAACUGUCCUUUUUUUUCCAUUUAAUCUGUCACUGGUGCAAUGUCUAGCUGACGUUGCGCCUACAUGACGUGUGUUUGCGUGUUUAGAUUAUGUUAUAGCCCCCUUGAGAAAAAUGCACCACCAUCUCAGAAACAAGCUCAGUCCCACCUUUAGUUUAUUCAAUCUAAAGUGUUAUAUUAUCAUUUUGAAUGAAGUUCACUUAAAUGGAAGCUAAGAUGUCAGAUAUCACGUAAGGUAAAGGCAAACAGGGUGAGCCGGGAAGUGAAGGUAUAGUUUGGAGCUUUGAGUUUAUCACUUACAAAAAGUUAGUUUAAUAAAAAUCUCAUUUUCACAUGUUCUCUUAUGCUUCAGGUCUAAACUGGGUCAUGAGGAUUAUUUUUGAGUCCUCCACCAGUACAGCUUGUUUGUAAACCAUGACUGUUUCUGCUUAUUUUUGGUCUGCUGUUUCUGUUUCUUCUUAACUGGAAACAGUAACUUAAUUGUUGUGUCUAAUUACAGGCAUACCAAGUGUUGGUAUUGUUAUUUGGAUCUUACACACACACACACACUUCUAAAGUUAUCUACUGUAAUGGAGCAGUUUUGAUUGCAUUUAUUCAUUAUUCAUUGUCAGUCUCACUCCAGAGCUGAUUCCCACGGCAGCACAAACACAAACAGGCGAUGCACAUGCACGGCUGACACGGCUGUCAGAGCUGAGAGCAUGUGUUCACUGAGGACCUGCCUCGGCUCCCAAGAUGAGAAUUAACAAACGCUACAAGGAAUUAGUGUUUCUUGGCACUGUACAAAUUAACUUGUUCUGCUCCGUCUCUCUGCGAUGCAUGCUGCUCCUUGAUACGACUCCAUUUGGGUGCUUUAGUAUGUGUGUGUGUGUGUGUGUGUGUGUGUGUGUGUGUGUGUGUGUGUGUGUGUGUGUGUGUGUGUGUGUGUGUGUGUGUGUGUGUGUGUGUGUGUGUGAAAGAGAAAAGGAAGAAGGACAGAGAGAGAGAGAGAGUUUCUCAUGUGUGUGCUGGAGUGUAAAAAAAGAGGCAGUUUGACUGUGUGUGUCUCAGUGGAUUAACAGAAAUUCACCGAGCUAAAGCCUGAUGUCAGAUGAAUUUGUCUGGUUAAUUUUUUCUGGACUGGAACAAUAUAAGCAACAGAGACAAGCUAAGAGUGCAAACACACACACAUUUAGAAACACUGUACACACACCUGCAAACACAACAUAUACACAUCUAAUAGAGAGGCAGCUAGUGUUUCCUGGUGCAGGCAUGCACACUCUUUCAAACAUGCUGCACUUCAAACACACACAAACUCUGUUGUUUUACAGAUUUGUGUCUGUGUGUGUGCAUGUGUGUGUUUAGUUAUGAGUGUGGUCUCUAACUCCCUCAAACCUUUUCUUUCUGUCAUGUACCCAGCUACACUCCUGCUUCCACCAAAGGAAACAUAGACGAACUGCAGUUUAGUUGCAGGUCUAAUGAAACCAUGUAAGCGGUGGUUAGGUUUAGGGUUGGAUGAUGAACACCACCUUUGAGAUCUAGAGAUCCAGCUUUUUUUAUAGUCAAUUUCUACCAUCUGUCAGUAUGUACACAGGAAUUGAAAAUUAAGUUUCUCUCCAGCCCAUGGUGCAGAAAUGCAGAGAAUAUUAAUAGUAAAAAUAACAAAUACAAAUAAGUAUAAUAAAGAAGUUGCAGUUCUGCAGAAAGUAGUACAUUGCAUGAAAAUAUUUGGUGUCAUUUUUCACACUCAGGAUUUGACCCAAGCUAGAGUGUUUUAUGUUGCCAUUAUAGAAGUUGAUGUUAUUCCCAUUUUUUUAAAAUCUUUUUAGUCUACGAUCUGGACAGUUAGCCGAAGAAUUUUGCCUCAGUAUUCUUUCUUUCCUCAAAGUCUACUCAAACACUAACUGUAGUUCAAGAAGAUAAGAAACUCAACGCCAGUUUCAGGAGAAACCUUUAAUGUCUCAGUAAUGUGUCAUCAUUUAUUUGUCCUGCUGAGUGUCUGAGUUUUCUGGCAUUACUCUCAUGAAGUAUUACUAAGCCAACAGUAUAAAUAACAUGUAUAUAAACAUAAAUAGGAGCAGAAAGAUGUAAUUGCGGCAUUUUUAAGUUGUCACUGAUAUAGACACCAAACCAAAAAUGUCAGUUACAUUAAGCAUCAUUCUUAUUCCCAUGCAAGAUAAAUAUAACUUCAGAUUUAUAUAACACAGCUCAAGAAUGGGGUUGAAAUGUUAACAUUUCAUAUAAACUUUGGAUUGUUGUUCCUCCAGGUUCGGUGCUGUUGAGGUUCAUGACGCGUAACCGCUGUAACAGGCUGCUCUGCCAACAGGUUAUGAGCCCAGAGAAACCUAGAGACAUUGUCACAGCAGCAUGUUUCCACUGUGCCGGUGAUGAUAGCAUGUUGCUCGCACCAUGAGCGGACGAGCAGAUACGAGUGGCCGCCACAGCAGUCACUGGUUGUGGCUCCUGUUUGAUGGAGACGAAAAGAAUUAUGAAAUAUGGAAGGCGAAAUUUUGGGCCACCUUCGUUUGGAAGGGUAAAAGGACACAAUUUUAACAGAGCCCACCACUGAGGACACGGAUGAGCUGCUUGAAGAUGCGGGAAAGAAUGCGGAAGCCUGUGCAGAACUCGUUCAGUUUUUGGACGACAAAAGUUUGUCGCUGGUGAUGCGGGAGGCUGCCAACGAAGCCGAAAUUGUAAGAGACUACUAUUGAGGUAAAGGAAUGCCAUGCAUCAUAAGCCUCUAUACAGAAUUGACUUCACUCCAGAAGUCAGAGAGUGAAAGUGUGACUGAGUACGUGAUCAGGACGGAGACUGCAAUCACAGUACUAAGAAAUGCCGGUGAAACAUUAAGUGACAGACUUUUGGUAGCAAUGGUGUUGAAAGGUUUGCUGGAGUCCUUCAAACCAUUUGUGAUCCAUGUCACACAGCGUGAUGACACAAUAUCUUUGGCUGAAUAUUAAAGGGGACCUGCCAUCAAAUAAUUUUGUGUGUUUUUUGUGUCAGAUAAGGUCCAUCUUAUGUUCGUCUUAUGUUGUAAAUGUGAAAACAAACCGUUACGUCGUUUGCAUUCUGUAAAGGUUUAAAAUAAAGAAACGUGUAAACCAGGCCAAUUGAAAAAGCAGGUCCUUCUGACGUCACGCUGACCUUGCUCAUUAUUAUUUACGAGCGCAUCCUCGGUGAGCCGCGCCCACUCUCUCGUUCUCGUACUCAGUCACAGUCAAUAUCACUCUCCAGCCAGAGCGGGACCCAGCUACCACUGUAUCUGCUAUGGGUCUCUUCCAAAUGACCGGUGUUUCCUUGGGUUCACUGCUGGGAAAAUGAACUUAAAGCUGGGCAGCAUGAAUGAGAAAACACCGCUGGAGAUCUCCGGCUUCUUCUUCAACUUCCACCUCCUCUUCGGACUCGGGGUCUAAUAUAUAUGGUUUAAUACCUGCCAUUUUUACCCUAUAGCAUAAGGGGACCAGACAUCCCCGAUUUCAGGGGACAGUCCCCGAAUUGGAUGACCUGUCCCCGGCAAAAGCUGUCCCCGAAAAUGUCCCAGAUUUAAGCGUUUCAUGAAUGAGAGCAAAAAUGUUGCGUGUGGGCUCGAACAACAGUUAUUACAGUAGCCGAAUAGGUAGGAAGCACAAGUAAGCAGUCCUGAACAACAGUUUUAAGGGGGUUAUUACAAGGGGCAUGCACUGCUACUAAAUAGUACCUAGAUUUUGUCUGUGAUCACGAAGCCCCUGCAGCCCCUGCACCCUCCCCGCCACCGCACCAAAUAUCCCGGAUAUUAUUACAGACAUCUGGGCACCUUACUUUAGCACACAUUAGCAAAAUGGAUAAACCGAAAUCUGAACCUCCACUGCUGAGCCAAUCAGAGCACAGCAGGCUUCACAGCAGCGAUCCAAUCAGAGCAAAGCUCAUUACCAUAAAUGUUAAUGAGCCAAAAUCAGUUGGUUUUCCUGUAAGGUUUUUUUGGCAUACUAAAACAAACCGUCAAAUAACUUUUCAGCUAAAAUUAUGUUGCAAACAUGAUCAGAGGACAUCAAGGAUUAUGAAAAAAUGAUAAAAAUGGGUAUGAAAUUUUGAUGGAAGGUCCCCUUUAAAACAAAGUUACGCAGCUACGGGGACACAGAGAAGAUGCGCACAGCAGCGGAUGACAAUGUGAUGAAUGUGCGGCAGCGGAGAGGGAGACUUGCUAGGACAGGUGACCGGGGAGCCGAGAGGUAUGCGGCGGAGAUGGUGUGCUUUAAAUGCGACAUGAAGGGACACCUGGCCAGAACCUGCUCUGGUGCAGCCACUGCAAGAGCAACACACACCGGGACAUGACCUGCAGACAGAAACAGAGGCAGAACUGAGACAACGCACAAAAGGUUUCCUGGGAGACAGCUGACCAGGACAAGGACUACGUCAGCAAGGGAGCAGUAGGACUGAACGUGAGGGGCCUGUUGAUCGACUGCGGGGCAACCUCGCACAUCGCCAUAGACCUCACAAAGUUUAAAAGGUUUGACGACGGGUUGCAGGCCAAGACACACUGUGUGAAGCUGGCGGACGGUGCAAGGGCGUUGCAGAGUGCCGAGGCGGUGCAGAAGUCUGUCUGAUUGACAUUAAAGGAAGACACCUGAAAACAACGCUGAGGCAGGUGCUGUAUAUCCCAUCUUACCCACAGGACAUUCUGUCAUUGAAAGCAGCUACUGCUAACGGGGCAACAGUGAUCUUCAAAAAGGGGAAAGAUGUUCUGAUCCACAAAGAUGGUACCAAAUUCCACAUACAUGUACAUGAUAGACUAUAUUAUUUACACACAGUAAACAAUAAUGACGACAAUGAAUAUGAUGAUCAAUACAAGGGAUGUCAUGAUAUGCAGACAUGGCACGAGAUUCUUGGACACUGCAAUUGCAAUGACAUCCAGAAGUUACAAGAUGUUGUGGAUGGUAUGAAAAUUAAGGGUUCAAUAGACAGACCUCUACACUGUGAAGUGUGCACUCAGGGAAAGUUUUACCAAACGAGAAACAGAGACCCUGAUGUGAGGGCUUAAAACCCCUCUAGAGCUAGUACACACAGAUUCGGCUUGGUCAAUCCACACAGAGUUGAGAGAUGGGUACAGAUUUGCACCUUAAUUUACUGAUGACUUUUCCAGUACAGUGUUUGUGUAUUUCUUGAAGAAAAAAAGUGAUGCAGUUCUAGCUACAGAGAAGUUUUUAGUUGAAUCUGCUCCAUACGGCAAAGUGAAAUGCUUCAGAAUUGAUAAUGGUACUGAAUUCACAGGAAAAGCAUACCAGGGAUUGCUCAUAAAAAAUGCAAUCAGACAUCAAACAUCAGCACCAUAUUCUCCCCAUCAAAAUGGGACUGCUGAGUGCAAAUGGCGCACACAUUUUGACAUGGCGAGGUGCAUGCUAAUUGAAAGCGGUUUGCCAAAACAACUGUGGACUUAUGCAGUCUAGACCACAGAGCAGACACCAAUCCAGAUGUUGACAGUAAGACGACCAAAUUUGUCUAAAAUGCAAAGAUUUGGAUCAGAGUGCUUUGCUUAUACACAAGACAAGAGAAAAUUUGAUCCAAGGUGUGAAAAGUGUGUUUUUAUCGGGUACGACAAAAACAGUCCUGCAUAUAUUGCAUAUAUUGUCAGACAGACACUGACUAAUUUUGCGCCUGAGGAUGAGGACAAUGUUAAAGCAGAACAGGAACCUGAAGUCAGCCACCACCAACCACAGGCAGUUGAGGUCAAGUGUGAGCCUGAGUCUAACCAUUACCCUUCAAGAGAGAGGAGUAGGCCAGAUAGAUACACAGAGUAAUAUAGAUUACUGUUAUCGAGUGAUGUGUAACAUACCUUUGUCAUUUACAGAAGCUGUAACAUCAGAUAAAUCAAGAGAGUGGGUCAAAGCUAUGGAUGAAGAAAUGCAUUCACUUAGGGAGAACAACACAUUUACCCUGACCAACCUGCCUGAGGGCAAGAAAGCAGUGGGGGGUAGAUGGGUGUAUGCUCUAAAAACCAAUGCUGAUGGAGCCGAAAAAUACAAGGCCCAAUAUGUUGCUAAGGGGUACAGUCAAAAGAUGGGUGUGGAUUAUGAGGAGACAUUUUCUCCUACAGCUAACAUGACUAGUGUCAGAGUUGUGCUGUCAGAAGGUAGUCCAAGAAAAUGUGAUCUUACACCAAAUGGAUGUUAAGACUGUCUAUUUAAAUGCCCCUAUAGACUGCGAGAUUUACAUGAAACAGCUGGAAGGGUACAGGGUAAAAUCUCACACAGACAGAAAGUUGUUGUGUGAGCAAGAGAGGUCACUGUAUAGGCUAAAACAAUCGGGCAGGAAUUGGAAUAAUGAAUGAAUGAAUGAAUGAAUGAAUGAAUGAAUUGCUUUAUUGUCAUUGUACAGCUGCACAACGAAAUUGCAUUUACAGAAGGGGAAAGUACACACAAGAGGAGGAGGUAAAAAAAAGAAACAGCUCUCAUUAAUAUGAGUGCUGUGACAACAAAAAACCCACAGCAACAUGAGCACAUUACUAACGCCACAUACACAGAGAUUCGUAGACAUGCUAUGGUUGUUGAGGGAGGUGGGGAGUGGGAUGGGUCAACAGUGGUGGUGGGAAGUCCCACAGCCGCUGCCGUAGGCGCCGCCAUUCAGGGUACCGCCCACUGCACUGAGGGGGUGAAGCGUCGAAGGCGUUGGAUGGGGGAGAGGUGAGUGUGUUCGUAUGUGCAUGAGUGUUGUGAGGGUUCAUGGAUGUGUGUGUGCGUAGGCCCAGGAGGUCACUCCGACCAUCGCCACAAUCUUGGUGACCUUGAUUGGGUUCCAGACGAAGUCAACAAUCCGCAGGUGUCCGUGAAAGAGGGGGUUGGGGAGGAAAGUUCAGAGCGUCGAAUUGCUGAGAUCUCCUGGAGGAGUUGUGCCGGCAUCGGCCAUGGCCAAGGCCGAUCCGAGGGAGCCGAAUAAGAGAUUAGGUUGUUUGGGUUAGGGCGAGUAGCCGCAUUCCAAUAGACUUCAGCUACUCUAAUUGUCCAUCCUGGUCUCUGUAUCGAUCCAUUUUCUUAUGCAAAGUCGCAAGCCUCUCCAAGAUGAUAUCUCCCUUACGAUCCACAGUCAUGACUUUUUGGUCAAGACCGAACGCAGUCCCAGAAAGAGUUCCUACGGCUUUGCCCACCUCAUAAAUCAUGUUGUUGUUACAUGAGUAUUUGACACAAAAUAAGUUUCUACAAAACCAGGCUGAUCACUGUGUUUACACAUGAGAAAGAGAAGGUGAGUAUGUGGUUAUGGUAAUUUGGGUCGAUGACUUAAUAAUUGCAGCAAGUGAUGAAAAUGCUAUGAGGGCUACAAAAGACAUGCUUACCGCAAAGUUCAAAAUAAAGGAUCUAGGCAAACUAAGACAUUUUCUUGGUAUUGAUUUUAAACAAAGCAACAACUGUGUAACAAUGUCUCAAGCAAAGUAUGUUGAGAAAAACCUUAAAAGGUUUAACAUGCAUGACUAUAAACUCAGAUUAACACCUUGUGAACAGAAACUGAACUACACAGAUGAUGCUACAUUGAUGAAUGAUGUUUCAAAAUACAGAGAGGCGGUAGGAAGUCUGAUUUAUUCGACUGUUUGUACAAGAUCUGAUUUAAGUUUCAUUGUGAGCAAACUGUCAUAGUAUUUUAAUGCACCUACUGAUCAGCAUUUUGGGACAAUCAAACAUGUGCUUAGGGACGAGUGAUGAGAAGUUGUGUUAUAGAAAAUCUGAUGAGAACCUGGGUAUCCACGCCUACAGUGAUGCAAACUGGGCUGGUGAUGUAAAUGAUCGACGAAGUAUGACUGGGUAUUGUGUAAGCCUGACUAAGAGCGGCACUCUGGUGUCGUGGAAGACAAAAAAGCAGCCUACUGUAGCACUGUCUACCUGUGAGGCGGAGUAUAUUGCUCUGGCUGCAACCAUCCAAGAGUGUUUGUACCUCACACAACUUUAAGGUGGCAUUGAUAAACAUGUAUAUACAUUACCCAGGGUGUAUGAAGAUAACCAAGGCACAAUUACUUUAGCUAAGAACCUAGUUAGUUGGCAGCGAUGUAAACAUGUGGACAUUAAGUACAACUUUAUACCUUCUACUGUGACUGAUGGUGAAGUAUUAUUAGUGUAGCAGAGACAACCAGUUUCUUAUCCCAACUCCCCCAAAAGAAUGUAAGGCUUACAUCUGCCCACCGGAGACGAGAUGGUGUAAACCUUUAACACCAAAUCACAAUCCUUCUACAACCUUCUGUCUCUAUACAAGAUAACCAACGAAGCCUUCCCAAAACACAAACUUUCUUUCCUUUCUACUUCAAAGAGACAAAGACACUGUUUAUGGCCAAUAAGAAAGAACUGCAGGACCACUCAAUUAGAUAAGCAUCUGUCAUCACACCUUGACUGGGAAGCGUUAGGUUUAUCAGCUCAGCCAUAAAUCCUACAUUUGGUUGAUUUUUCCCGAGUACAGUCGAAAGAGAAUAACUACAACUAGUCCAAUUACAGGUCUGAUGGACACGACACCAUGAUCUUCUGUCAGUACUCAACAUGUGCAGAAUAAAUCCUUUAGUCUAAAAGUUCCUUGAGAUCAACAGCUUUCCAAAGUUAUGUUUGAAUUACAACCCUAUUCUAGUAAGACUAGUGUAGAAAUGUUUAGUUUAUCUCUUAAUCAUUUGUUUAGCUUUGUUAACCAUUAGGUAGUUAUACUGUUAACUAAUAAUCUGAAUGUUGGUUUGUAAUCCGUUAUUAACUGUUUAUUAACAUGUGUUUAUCCUUGUGUUGCUCACAGUUCAUGUAUUAAUAUGUGUUUCAUUUCAAAGUAAUGUAGCAUGAUCAAUGUUCUUUGAAAAGUGAUACUCAAAGCAUAAUGAGAAUGUUUGUUAAUGUGAUUCUACAAUUCUUUAUAUGUGUUUAGCAUUAAAUUAUUUAAUAUGAACCAAGCAUUUCUUAACAUUAAUCUUAGUGAGUGAGUAUUCGAUCUGACUCUUUUACUAGCCAAAGUAUAAGUUGGAUCAAACAACCUGGGGCCUCAUGUAUCAACGCUUGCGGCGCAAGAAAACCUUGCGUACGCCAAAAUCGGCGCACACGUCCAGAUUUAUCAUCGCGAAACGAGCGUCGGUUCCAGCGCUAAUAAACGCAAAGUCAGGAGGUGGUGUAGAAAUUGGCGUUGAGCCGAUACUUGCGUUGACUGUGAUUCGCACUUUGGCGACGCUGUGUGGCGGUGUUUGGUGACUCACUAUGUGACAAGCGUGCACCACAUCCCCGUGGCCGAGCAGCACGUCGCCCCACAUGACGAACCAGCAGCAGACGGAAGGAUGCGAGCUGAUCCCUGCCGGGCCGCCGUCCUCGCACGGGAGAAUCUCAUCGCCACAGUGUGAAUGGGUAAGAAGUGAAUACACAGUUCAAUGAGCCAAAUUAAUUUAUUUUCUCCACCAGACGCUCGAGGACAUUUACGAACCGGUCCAGCCGCUCGUUUAUCCCCGCGAUCCCCCUGAUGAUUUCUUCCUGCGAUUGCAGGACCCCCUCCGUGAGGACCCUUCCACUGCGUCCGGGUGGUCCAGCGGAAGCGCCGCGGCUGGUGGACGCUCCACCGCUUGUCGGCGCGCUGGUGCUGGUGCUGGGGCCGGGGGCCGGGGUGGCCCGAAUGCCGCUGGUCCUGGCCGACGACUCCGAGCCGGCGGACGGGCUGCCGUGGGCCGGGGUUCCGCAAGCCGGCGACACGGCCGACACAUUGAUUUCUGUGACACAAUAAAAAUAUUGGUUCAUUUCAAUUCCUGCUUCUGUGUAUCUGUUGCGUUUACAUCUCUCUCCACGGUAUCAUAGGUAAUGUAAUCCAGUAUUUAGAGGUCAGUUAUGCACAUUACAGUUGUUUAUUGCAUAAAAAGUUAUCGAAAAAUGAAGUUAAGGGCGAAGUAUAAAUCACGUCUAAAAAUAGACUGAAUCCCGACGUUGAAAUGAAGUAUAAACUUAGACUAGACGUCUAAUAUACGUCUUUUGCUCAGUGGGAUGACAAAGCAUGUGGACAUUUGUGUGACACGCCACUUACCCUAUAAUAAUAAUCGCCACCAAACGGCGUGAGGGUCUCCUCCCCCGGACCCCCACUUGUCUGGCCAGUACUCCUCCGGAGGGCAGCUGUACGCCGCUUGACCUCCACCUUGAGGUCCUACCACUUUUUUUUAAUCUUCGCGGGGGUGCGUGUCUCGGAACCCACCGCAUUCACCCUCUCGCAAACUUUCUCCCACUCCAAGCGUUUUUGUUUUGCACUGACGCCACUGGACAGGCUGCCGAACAAAACACGCUGUCGCUCCUCCACCUCCGCCACCAGCACCUCCACCUCGCACGCCGUUAAUUUAGUUUUUCUUGUCAUUUUGUCUGCGUGCGAGGACAGGGAGACCCUAUUUAAAUAAAUCUGCAUAUUUAUAGGAGGGCGUAACGGGGACGGGCCCAGUCACUCCGACAUCUGUGCUCAAUUCCACGCUGUUUGGGAUUUAUCAAGGAAACACACGUGGAUUUCGGCGCCCGCACACAUUGAUACAUACGGAUUUUUUUCAGCGUGACGGACCUUGCGUGCGCUCGUUUCUGGUAUGAGUUCCACGCAAGUGUUGAUACAUGAGGCCCCAGGGCUCUUGAAAGUCUCCUCUCAGGAAGCUGCAGCUGGAGAUCAGUACCCCCUCCCUUCUUUCCUCACACCUUAGAGACACUCCCAGUCUGAAGAGUAUAAAACCAGUAAAGCUGGGGUGCUUGCUCUCUCACAUUCCCCUUGCCUUUUUCUCUCUUGCCUUUUGCUCUUCACACUCUUGUUUUCCUUUUUGUUUCCGCUAAGUUUUCCACCACAUGUUCAUUCACUUUAAUUUUUCUUUAACAUUGUCUUAGUUCAAGUUGCGAAACUUUAACUUUUGUGCGCAUAGCAAUUCAAGAUUAAGCCUUUAAUUGGUUUUUCUUUAAUUUUGCAAAGACAUUUUUGAAAUGCCAGUUUCAACUGGUCAUUGAGCCUCUUUCCUUGGACUUGAUCGUCAAGUCACCUCUGAAUGCCACCCAGCAGGCCCAAAGUCAUCCUCUGAGCCAGUGUGUUGCAGUGAGGCCAAAAGAGCAUUAAAAGGAUAAAUAAAGCACUGGUUUUUGCAUUCAGGCCUGUGCGCUGUGACUCCUGGCCCGUCCUUCGUCUGACUUUGGUCCUCUUCUGAGCUGAACCUCUCGAACCGGUAGCGUGGACCUUCUGAACCUGCUCCAUCCUCUCCAAGGACCAGCCUCACUUAAGUAUCCAAACCUCCAGAGCUCCAAACAAGGCCGAUGCUGUCUCAUGCAUUCAAUUCAGAUAACCACAUCCAAAUUUAUCUUUACACUGAAGUUAAUGUAGGUUAAUAUGUUAGAGCAAAUUCACUCAUUAUCAUUAACUUUAGUAGUCUUAGCCUGACUCAGAAUCUUUCAUUCAAAUAAAGAAAAAAAAAAUAUCCUUCUUGUUGUUUUCUUUUUUGGUAUUGUAAUCAUCACUCCCACGUUUGCCCGGCCGAAUGCUCUCUGUAAAUGUGACUUUUGUCAAUGAGGGGGAGAUGACACCUUUAAGGGUAGAUGCUUCGGUGACUUAAUUCAUUCUCUUUAAGUGUCCGGGGAUUUAAACUAAAAGCAAAACAGAAGUGUUUAUUUUACUUUGAUAAUCUGAAAACGUCUCACCACUGGAAACUUUCUCCAUCUUGAAACUGGAAGAGCUCUGUUGAUAAAGCAAGGAAAUAACCUGAAAGGCAAGCUAAUAACGCAGUUAAGGGACAGUGUUUGUACCUUCAGAACAGAUUUCUCUUUGCGUUAUCAAUAAAAUAAAAUCAAGCAACGCUAAGCUGCUCUGUUGCUAUUUCGGUUCCCCUCUGAUUAGACACCAUACGGCAAACACACAGAGACAGAGGAUUUUUUCAGUGGUCCGUCAGCACAUCCAUGCAGGUCUAUAGAGAGUUGUCCUGCUGUGUUUGAUGUUCACACUGAAAGCUGUAAAAACAGAUAGAGAACAGGAUUUAAAAUCACAUUUCUGUGGAGCUCAAAUAAACACUCCUGAGUUCUUCAAAAAGCUCAGACUCAGAGACUGGGCUGUCUUCACCACAGCCAAAGGACGAGAACUGUUUCAUUUGUGAGUCAGAACAGAAAGAAUCACCUCAUCACCUGCAUGCCUGACAAACAGGAUGUGAUGGGUUCACAGUUGUUCCCACAGGAAGAUGUUUCAGGGUCACAGCGGGUGGUUUGGGGCAGGAUCUGAUAGUGAUGAUGGAUUUUAUUCAGAGCCACACCUGUGCACCACAAAGUGGCUGUUCCUCAUGUUUUCCCACCUCCUGCCCUGUGUGUGACAUCACCGCUGCUUCACUUCCUGGCAUAGCUGUCCCGGCGUCAGGCUCAAGGACGGUUUGGACACUGAGGCUCCCAGGAAGAAGUCUGUUUCCUGACCUGACUCAGAAGAGUCCAACAGUUUGAAACAAGGGGAAACAGGACACAAAGGGGGACAGAGACACGCAAGACUUCAUGUUGAGUUAUCGGAAAUGAAAGAAAUGGAGUGUUUCUUCAGGAAAAUAUAUCCAUUCUUCCCCUUUGAAAUAUUUCAGUCCUGAUGGUUGAAAAACAUUGAGCGAAUUUCCUUCAGGCUGUAUGAUGGUGAGUUUGCCGAGCCAACAGACUGCUGAUUGGCUUAUAAGGUUGUUUCCAUUUGAUUGACAAGUGGGAUAACAAGAUGCUAGGCCACAGCAUUUGCUUUCACAAUAUCAUAAAGGAAUCACAACUCAAUUCGGCCAUAAGUGACUUGUGACUUGGACCUCAUGACUCUUAAAAAAACAGUUAAACCUGACAGAACUUUUCACCAGAGUCAACCUUAUUUUAGCUGUCCAAGAAGAUCCAGUCACAUGACAAAACAAACCAGGAAGGUGCGGUUGGGUUGGGUUAAUCAAAACCAGAGCUGUUGAAGGGUUAGGAAGUUAACAAGAGCAACACAAACAUGAUUCCAAAGAUCAUUUAGGGGCCUUUCUCACCCAAAGUCCGCUUGGAAGGUCUGGAUCACUAAAUCUUUACAUCAUUGCAUUUUACAUGUGGUCUGGUUAGCACAUGACUUUUGCUGAUGAGAAAACGAGAUGGUUCAUCUCAAGGGGCUAUCCUAUAAUUAAUCAGAAUUUACGCAAACCAAAUGGUUAAAAAAAGAGGGAAAAUUACAAGGGGAAAUCACUGUCUGUCACCUGCUCAUUUGGGGCACAAUCUUCAUUGUCCCACAAUGCACAGAGAGUAGCCAACAAGAGGAAGGCAUCUGGCUUUACGCAAUUCACCAGAGUUGGUGAAGACAUUGGGCGAGGAGACACUGGGCAUGAAUGCAAAGUAAUGCUUAUAACAUAUUGUCAGUGUGUUUGUUGAACAGAAGAACACUCAGGUAUUUAAUAUUUAUCACCCGACUAGUGUAUUAGAACACAAACCCUCUGCCAUUCAUCCAGUUUUACAGAUAGUCUGGUGUUUUGACCGGCUGUUCUUCAUCUGCUGCAACCGGCCAGGCACAAUUUCCCUGCUUUAUUACAGUGUAAAUGUGUUAUUGGAUUAUAUUGACAUAGAAAAGUCUGGCUGCAUCAGUGCUGCAUUCACGCCCACCCCGGACAGAACCAUGAUUCGUUUGGAAGGGGAACAAGUCCUGAAUUUUCAAGAGGACCACGGUCCGUUUGUUUGAUCCGGACGACGUUUCACUUGCGUGUUCAUACUACCUAGACCAAAAGAGUGAGGGGACCAUGGUCCUUUUAGAGCGCCCUUAGUUGGUGUGCAGAAACUAUGAGGUGGUCAACAAAAAAAAAAAUCUGUGAUGAUGUUUUCCCUUUGCAAUCAGAUUAAAAUCAUAGAGUUUAUAGAUAGUUUUCAAGCUUGAAUGUUGCCUCAACUUUAGCAAGUUCAGGACCCUGAGCCCAUUUGACCACUGACAUAUUGAACAACACCAUAUUUCAAAGUUUAGUGUCAUCAUACAAAAGUACAGCCAGUCAUGAUGUGGGGCAUUUCUAACAGGCGUGGGACCCAGAGCCAAUCCAUCUAGCAAGGCACAUCUGAAACCUACAGCAGAACAUGAAUCCUCCCUGUGACUAGGUGUAGAUGAGGCAGAGCAGAGGUGAAUAUAUCCGGCCUUGAAAAGACAGUACGUAAACGCCUGAUGACUUAGUCCCACCUCUGAUCAAACAUAGAGCGGGUCAAAGUUUUACAUUUCAGAUUCCUCUUCAUUUCUCUUCUAAGUGAACAAAACUGUCACCAUGGUGAUUUCGGCGGGUUCAUCUAGUAAAAGAAGAAAAGUUCUUAAAAACUGUGUCUUUUUAUUAUUAAAAUACAUUGUGUGUGUGUGUGUGUGUGUGUGUGUGUGUGUGUGUGUGUGUGUGUGUGUGUGUGUGCGCGCAUGCCUAUGGAUGUGGGAGUCUGUAGAAUGAAAGAAAACCAUUAAACAAUUUUACAGACAAAACCCUUGUUUUUGGUAACACAAAGAGGUUUUGUUAAAGAAUAAAAGUGGCCUGUUUUCUAGCUCUGAUGGGGUGAUGAAGAGGCAGAGGAGGGCGGAGGCAGGGAGAUGGGGUAGUAGGCCAAAGAUUAUCUUUGAUAACACACACACACAGACAAGCUCUACUCUGACCAUCACAGUCUGGAUUUGGGGGGCCUCAGCAGUCUCUGUGUGGGUGUGUACAGGUCAGCAAGGAGGAGAUGGACUGUGAAAGCCUUUAGCUCAACACUGCCCUCACAUGGGGGAGCAGAGAAUCACACGGUCAGCUUUAGUAUAGGAGACAGUCUGUUAAUAUCUUCACUUUAAAAGAUGAGUGUCUCUUCAUAUCCAUUACAAUAUGACCACUAUUAUUCAAGCUUUAGACCACUCUGUCAAAGUUCCUCUUGAACUUCACAACUAAGGCUUAACCCACAAAGCUGAUUCACUGUACCUGGAUUACAUCACCAUGGCAACCAGUACCAGUAUACAUAACCUGGGUGGGUUUACUUCACUUCUGCACUCCAAGAAAAAAGGACUCAUUCCCACAAAGUGGAAAAGGAGCAGUCAUUGUCUUAUAAAUAAACAAAGAUAAACAAAGAGCAGCAUGUAACAUCCUAAAUAAUCUUUUUUAUGUUUUCAUUUACAAAAAUUUUACUUAUUCAGUCCAUCUGGACUGAAUACAUAAACUGCUCAUGUUGCUCAUGUUUAUUCUGUUAAUCAGGAACAGAAUGUGUGAAAAUCUGCCACCCAAUAUCACACACAGUGUAAACACAAAGAGGCUUUAGUGCAUGGACUAGUUUCAGAACCACACCACUUUGAGAAGCGAAACAAAUACCUGUGCAGUUCGGGGGGGGGGGGGUAUGACCUCAGUAGACAAUCUGUAACCAAUCAUCAUGCUGCUGAUCAAACAAAUAUGUGGUGUAAAAUUAAUAUUUUUAACUAAAAUGUGAUGAUAUAUUACAUUUUAAAUUUAACAUCUGCAUUUACCAAAAGCUUGAUGAUAAUGUAUGAACAGUGUUAUCCUCAUGAUUAAACUCAAAAAGAUCACAAUCUACACCCUUUUUUUUUUCUUAAAUUAGCUUUAUGAAGUAAAAAUGCCUCUGAGUUGAUUUAAAUUACCUACAAUGCAUUUUUGUAUUUUGUCCACUUACGCCUGAUGAGGUUGAUGCUGGCAGCAAACAGAUGCACAGCCCGCGUGGCUAAAUGUUGGCAGGGAUUUCUCAUUGUUGAUGGUUUUAGAUACAUGGUUUUCACAAUGUUUAAGACCAUGAAAUGUUUUUGGUUGUGGAGCGGAGGGUCAUCUGGUCCAAUCUUAUCCAGGGUAGAGUGGAACACAGCAGCAGGCUCCUGCCGCCUCUUGCACACCUUAUGGCGGGGUGCCGCCACAGGAUUUAUUUAUUUGUCCCUCCAAAUUUGUAUUUUUAAAUUUCAUAUUUAGCACAUAUCUGCAGUGUUUGUUCAUGACAUGUUCAUUGUUCAGUUUAAAAAAUAUAGUUGUGUCAUGAAUGGCUCUCUUCUUCCUCUCUCACACAAAGCCCAAGAUGGUGAGGGUUCUGCUUAGAGAGUUGGCCAUUAGCCGCUGUAGUUACAGUUCAUAAAUUCUACAUUUUUACUGUUACAACAAUAAUCAACUUUGAUUAUGUCAAGUGAUAUUAAAAUAAAGACUUUUAUUUGAGAAUAACUUUGUCUCAUACACUCUCAAUAACUUACACUCACUCAUCAUGCCCAUGAAGCUGAUGACGAAAACCUAUUAAAGUGGCAAGAGUACAGCAUGAAGAGCUGCUUACACUGCUGAUGUUUCAUUACCUGCAAAUAUUAACACUUAAAACGAAGCAAGUUCUUUAUAUCCCUAUGAUGUUCAGAAGCAUAAGCCAUUUGGUGUUCGGUGAUAAGGCUGUAAGAUCCAACAAAUGUCCAACACAUCAUCCGUCUAUCAACCUACAUCCAUCCAAUAAUCAAUCCUUCCAUUAUCAUCUAUACCAUCAACAUGAUCAACAAAUCAUACGGUGAUAAUUAUGAGAGGUCCCUGAGCAACAUCCCUCAUGAGAUUUCAAUCAGCUAUUUUCAGUGUUAAGAGUGAGUCAAAACUCCCCCUUAAUGUGCUAAAUGCUUGUUGUUACUGUGGAUUCACAUUUAUAAAUGGUGAGAAGAAUGGAAUAUGUUAAAAUGCAAAUACAAUGGGAGUCAAGAUAUAUGACUGAUAGGAGGGGAAACAAAAUCCGAUCCAAGCCGAAUCCAAAUUUAGCAAGCUGACUGGCUGUGUGAGAGUACAGGGUUGGGAUGACGGUUUAUAAAGUAAACUCCAUUUUUGGAUGUUUCCAUGUGAGAAUGACUUCACAAAUCUCUCUCUAUAUAAGUUUGUGUUUGUUUGUGAAUAAGAGAGAGAGGGGCGUUGGUAAAUUGUGAGUCUGCAGCCAAAAAUCAGGCAGUAUGCAUGCUGGCAUGACUGAGAAUGGGCUCCUUCCAUAAGCACACACCAAAUGUCCUGGCAGCACGGCUCCUCCCUACAUGCCAAGUUUGUCAAAGCACAAACGUUAAGGAACAAAGCAACUCCGCUAUAAAUACUCUCACCCUGAACUCCUAAAACACAGUGCAUUUCAGGUGUGUAUUGAACAACAACUCCGGAAAUUAAUUAAUUCAUUAAACUAAACAAUAAAUAUGCUUUUCCUUUUCAUUCAAAGUGCUCCAAAUCUGCAUUUGGCCCACAGUUUUCUACAUGUUGCUGACUCUGUAUUUGCAUCAAUUUAGUCCGUGGAGUAUCUGUUAAUCACAGGUAGCCAAAUCCAGGCCUCAAAUUCUCCUCUUUGAUUGGUUACAUGUGCCACCCCAAACUCCCCUGCUAUGACUGAUUACAUACCUUCACUGUAGGAGCAGAAUAUUUGUUGACUGACUGAACUCUGUAUUAACAAAGCAGCAACCUCAUGAAGUCAAUGUGAAAGCUCUUAAAAAUCUAGUUCCUCAAGUGUCCACUUGCGACUUGCUGCAAAGGCUGCAGAAGUUCCAUAUGAAAGUCAAAGAGCUAGUGAGCUCAAAAAGCAGAGAUCAACAGCAUUGGUCUCUAUUAGAGACUUAAACCUAGAAGUUUUGUGCUUUGCUGCUAUGUAGUGUGUCAGUGACAGUCGUUGUUGAGUAGCCACUAAUGUCCUUGGCUGAGUAAAUUAAUCAACUGAGAAGCAAGACCAUUUCCUUACAGACUUCUAUACAAUCAGAUUCUUUUACAACCUGUGGAGUUGCCCACAGGUUGUAAAAGUAUAACAUUAAAUAAACAUUAAAAAAAGAAUAACAUUAAAUACAACACAGUUUUUAGGUAUUCAUUCAUAGGCUUUUGAUACUUGCAGGCAGUAUGUAGUCCAUUUAAUCAGGAAUUUGCAAAUGAAUGCUCCUGUCACAUUUUGUAACAUUUGCAUUUACACUUUUCUGUAAUGUUUAGGAAAGUUCCCCUUUAAUAAUAGUUUCACAUAUCAGGAUUACCAGCCACACUUCUUAGCACUAAAAGAUGAUCAAGCUAAGUGGUUCAUUUGUGCCCAUUGCUGCCUCAUGUCGAGAUGUUGCAGUUUGUCAGCUGCAGUGUUUGAAACAUGUGGUUUGGUGUUUUCUUUUCUUUUUUAAUAAUCACCAUGUUUUUUUUUGUUUUAUGUGUAACUUUGUGUGUGUGUGUGUGUGUGUGUGUGUGUGUGUGUGUGUGUGUGUGUGUGUGUGUGUGUGUGUGUGUGUGUGUGUGUGUGUGUGUGUGUGUGUGUGGCUGAUAUCAGGGUAUCAAAGCUCUCCAGGCCAAAUAUGAAGCUGGUAAAUAAAUAUGUAAAAGAGAAAACAGCAUUUCAAAUAGUUUUGAAGGUCACUGUAAUUUUCAGGAAUCUUGAAAGGCUGAAUAUAUUGUCCAAUGUGUGAACAGCUCUCUGAUUACUAUGAAAAAGACUAAUACCACCACCACAGCUGAAUAACUAAGUUCAAUAACUGGAGCAACAUCUGGCAGACACCAGCAGCUCACACCUGUCACUCAGAGAGGCUAUGUUCCUAAUUUACCAAAAUGUAACAGUUAAAACAAACAAACCUCAUAAAACUUCAACUUUAUACGGUUAGAGGAAUCACAGACAAGUGCUUUUCUACCACUCACCAAUAUAUAACGGUGAUUAUGCUGAUUGCAUUCAUAUAUAAAUUUACUGCAUAUUUGACAUAUGAUAUAUUAUCCACUAUUGAUCAGAAGGACCCAUGCAUCCUCAUGCAUGUUCAUCCACUUACUAUGAAGUGACAGCAAUGUCGAAACUGUUCAAAUGUCUCCCUUAGUCCUAGACUGCAGAACUUGGACUUUGCAUUUUGGACUGUAAAAACCCCGCUCAUGGCAUAUCCGGUUAUAAACAUGGACAGAGAUUUGUAUCUGUGCAAACUUGUAGGACCACACAACUUUUCCUUAGACAUGUAGCCCACUCUUAGACAUCCAUAUCUAGUGGCAUGGAUCAUUUAAUGUAAUUCUGAUAAUGUUUAGUGGAUGAAAUAGACACUGAGUCCAUGGAUGAAACAUUUAGGGCUCUAUUUUCAUGCUUCGCCAGAGACGGGGCGCAGGCGACAAGGCGCUCCCAAGCACAAUUUGGUAUUUUGGUGAGCGGCACAGCCUGGCAUAAGUAUCCCCCCUCCCUAACUCAGCUCCUCCCAGUGGCGUAAGUCGUAGCGAGGGAGGAGAGUGGGCAGAAAGUGGGUUUAACACAGCAGAGACCUGUGUUGACCAAUAACAUAAGCUCCUCUCCUCGCCUUUAAAUCCAUCACCGGUGAGGGGUAUUGCAAUUUUCGUGAAGUAGACAAAGAGAUCAAGAGAUGUCUGAAGACAGCAAUGCCACACGAUGGCGACAGAGGGCAGCCCCUCAACAAGUGUCGCUGCAGCACAGGUGGAUUUGGUGUGUGUAAUGUUGGGCCCACUGGUAAGACAAACACCCUUUUCCACAAAUAAAGAAACUCACAUAAAGUUGCAUUUAUAUUCAAACCUCACAUGACAAAAGUGGGUUGAGCGCACAGAUCACAACAUUAACUCCAAUAAUGGCACUAAAAUCGGAACCAUCUUUACGUAAAGGACGCAUCGCGCUCCGUGGCCUGGCUCUUUCUUUCAUAGAUGUUGGCAUAUAAAAUAAAUUUGGCUCACAAAACUGAAUAUUAUAAUAUUCGUAUGUAGGCUUAAAGUAAAAAACUCAUCUGAACACUGAAAUAAAUCAUCUGUUCAGCCACCGCAGCAGCAGCUGCAGCAGGACGGGGAGAGGAUUCGGAGACAUGUCCAGGUCGAGCUACGCAUGAAAUAAGAGGAAGAGUAAGAUAGAAAUAGGGGGAGACAAAUUAAAUAUCUUGUUAACUUUAUUGUGUGUGUCUAUGUACUAGAUAUUUAAUUUAAUUUAAUGUGAUUUCAGAUGUGUUGAUUUGGUCAGGAUGUGUGUCCAGACCCGUGCCAAACGCGCUCAUCAGAUCAGAUAUAGAUCGUAAUAUAUCCAUAGAUCUAAAUGUAUGUGCUGACUCAGAUUAUUAGUUGUUGUUGAUUAUUUAUUGCACAAAAAUGUGCCUGACACUGUGGAAACCUGCCGGUGAGGCAUCAGUGACGUAUGCCAAUAUGCCGCCAGUCUACCAAAAUACCUCUCGACCAGCUGCACUGAAAGCUGACCAGGUUUGAAUCGGCAAGCUUUCAGCGCACUUUAGACGCCGGUGGCAAGCACAAAAAUGUCACUGCGCCAGCUGAUUCUGUCGACACCUCCCCCUGCCACACCACCACGCCCAGCUUGGUGGACCUCGGUGCCCCUCAGUCCACAAAAAUACCAAACUGGCAGUAAGCUGGGCUCCGCCGGACGAAAAUACCACUGCGCAGGGUCCGCCACCCUCCGCCGCGUCCCCGGCGGACACGAAAAUAGAGCCCUUAGAGUCCUUGUGAUCAAGUGACUGCAUAAAAAAGGUUGCCAUAAACACACAGACAGAAAUCGUGUUUUUGGAAGUCUGUUGUCCACAUUGCAUUGUUAAUAACAAUAAUUAUCCAAAUAUUCUAAGGUAACCAGCAGCUAGAGUUGGAUCCAGUGAGGUGUAAAUAAUAAUUAAAUUGUAAUUAUUGUGAGGUUUCACUUGUUUUUUUCUGACAUUUUUAUUUCUUCUCAAAAUGCAUUAAUAAUAAUGAUAAAAACAAUAUUAAACUUUUUUUAUUUAAUAAUUUGAUAAUUAUUAUUUAAAAAUAUUAAUAAUCACUUUUUUUGACAUAUGAAUUUGGAUAUUUCCGUCUGUGGCCCUAAAAUCUAUUCCCCUCUGAUUUAUCUUUUAGAGAUGUAUUUUUAGUGUUAGAUUAUACUGCUCCUCUACUCCAGCAAUGCCCUGGAUUCUUAAAACAGGUAUCUGAAGUUUGCAUUAAGGGUGCAUGAGGUAAGCUUUGUAGUGGGAAAAGCAAAUGAUCAGAUAUCACUCCGGAGUCCCCUGCCCAUUGAACAGUCUCCAGCACUAAAGAGGAGCGAUCAGCUGUUACAGUCUAAGGCUGUGUCCCAUUUCAGAGACCGUAUCGUCGAACGGCGCAUUUGAAGCGUGCACAAUGUCAUCACACGGCGCGAACGGUGUCCCAUUUGGCACGAAAUGCUAAGAAAUGCUAAGCGCGCUUAGCAUUUUUCAAGCAUGCAUUUAUGCAUGUUUUUGUGCCAUUGGUAUACCAGAAUUCUUUGCAUGCCGCUGCACAGCUGCGCAUUUCGGGUGAGAGGCUGGACUCACUUGGAGACGCAGCGCAAAGAAAAUACAAGAAAUCCAAAAACAGCAGACAGUCAGCUCAGGCUGUAUGAGAGCAUGAUCUCUGAACUCACUAAAAUCUGUAAACCAAACAUUAUAGAUUUAGAGAUGAACUGAUCUGCUCUGCUACAACAAUCAAAAACAUUAGAAAUAAGAAAGCUAACAAAACUACAGCAGAGAAUCAGGACAACAUUGAGGUUUUUUUUUUUCUUUUUUAUAUUUAGAGAUUAAAGUUGUAAAUUUAGGAGAAUAAAGUCAUAAAGUAAAUAAAGUCAUAAAGCUGCUUUUGUGGAGGGGGAAAUGACUGAAGCUGGUCAUCUGCAGGCUUAUCUGUGAAUGUAUCAGCGGGUCAUUCAGAGAGUUUUUGUGGUUUCUGAAGAAACAAUCAAACUGAUGAUCAACAUUUGUGAUCCAGAGAGAGUCAAGCUUCGACAAGCACCACGUCUCUGACACCGACGGUAACCUACACCUGCAGAGGCACCAACACCUUAUUAUGGCAUAUGGAUUCAUAUCUUAAAUUAAAGCUCAAUGUCAUUCACGGAUAUUUACGGCUGCAUAAACGGAUAUAUCCUCAGCAUAUUCAUUUAUGCCUCCACAAAAGCAGCGAUUUCCUCCAAGUACACCUGUUUCUUUUUUACUUAUGACAAUGUAAUGCUGAUGUGCCAAAGGAUGAAGUAUCUCCUUGUUUGUGAAACCUAUACUAAAGCACAGUUCCUUUAAAUGCUUCAUGGCCCUAAUUUUAACAAGUCUCCUCUGAAAUAACAGGUAACCUUAUGACUUAUUCUCAUAAAUUCAUGACUUUAUUCACGUAAAUUCACGACUUAAAUCUCAAAGUCUUUAAAAAAAAUUCUCAACAUGGCCCUCAUACUCCUUCUAAGUGGUGGGCAAAACCGUUCAUUUCAGUGAACCGGAUCAUUCCUGGUCGUUCGGUAAAAAGACCCGUUCAUUUCGGUCAUUCGGUCGUUAGUCAGUCCAUUCGUUCAUGCUGAACGAACGUGAUGAGCGAACGAAAUGACUGCACUUCAGACUCAACAGCGCAACAACAUGUGAUUACAGCAUUAAAGGGGACCUGCCACCAAAAUUUCAUACCCAUUUUUAUCAAUUUUUCAUAAUCCUUGAUGUCCUCUGAUCAUGUUUGCAACAUAAUUUUAGCUGAAAAGUUAUUUGAUGGUUUGUUUUAGUAUGCCUAAAAAACCUUACAGGAAAACCAACUGAUUUUGGCUCAUUAACAUUUAUGGUAAUGAGCUUUGCUCUGAUUGGAUCGCUGCUGUGAAGCCUGCUGUGCUCUGAUUGGCUCAGCAGUGGAGGUUCGGAUUUCGGUUUAUCCACUGUUAUUAUGCUAAUGCUAAUAGCAUAUGCUAAUGUGUGCUAAAGUAAGGUGCCCAGAUGUCUGUAAUGAUAUCCGGGGAUAUUCGGUGCGGCGGCGGUGGUGCAGGGGCUGCAGGGGCUGUGUGAUCACAGACAAAGUCUCGGUACUAUUUAGUAGCAGCGCAUGCCCCUUGUAAUAACCCCGUAAGAACUGUUGUUCAGGACUGCUAACUAAAUUCGGCUACUGUAAUAACCGUUGUUCGAGCCCGCGCGCAACAUUUUUGGUCUCAUUAAUGAAACGCUUAAAUCGGGGACAUUUUCGGGGACAGCUUUUGCCGGGGACAGAUCAUCCAAUACGGGGACUGUCCCCGGAAAUCGGGGACGUCUGGUCACCUUAUGCUAAAGGCUAAAAACGGCAGGUAUUAAACCAUAUAUUUUAGACCCCGAGUCCGAAGAGGAGGUGGAAGUUGAGGAAGAAGCCGGAGAUCUCCAGCGGUGUUUUCUCAUUCAUUCUGCCCGGCUUUAAGUUC
rnacentral:lncRNA from 1 species